rnacentral:rRNA from 1 species
AGAAUCAACGCUGGCGGCGUGCCUAACACAUGCAAGUCGAACGAGAAAGUGGAGCAAUCCAUGAGUACAGUGGCGCACGGGUGAGUAACACGUGACUAACCUACCCUUGAGUGGGGAAUAACCUGGAGAAAUCUAGGCUAAUACCGCAUAACACCUACGGGUCAAAGGAGCAAUUCGCUUAAGGAGGGGGUCGCGGCAGAUUAGCUAGUUGGCGGGGUGAUGGCCCACCAAGGCAGUGAUCUGUA